UACGGGGGGGGCAAGCGUUGUUCGGAAUUACGGGGCGUAAAGGGCUCGUAGGCGGCCAACUAAGUCAGACGUGAAAUCCCUCGGCUUAACCGGGGAACUGCGUCUGAUACUGGAUGGCUUGAGUUUGGGAGAGGGAUGCGGAAUUCCAGGUGUAGCGGUGAAAUGCGUAGAUAUCUGGAGGAACACCGGUGGCGAAGGCGGCAUCCUGGACCAACACUGACGCUGAGGAGCGAAAGCCAGGGGAGCAAACGGG
rnacentral:rRNA from 1 species